GAUGAACGCUGGCGGCGUGCCUAAUACAUGCAAGUCGAGCGAACAGACGAGGAGCUUGCUCCUCUGACGUUAGCGGCGGACGGGUGAGUAACACGUGGAUAACCUACCUAUAAGACUGGGAUAACUUCGGGAAACCGGAGCUAAUACCGGAUAAUAUAUUGAACCGCAUGGUUCAAUAGUGAAAGACGGUUUUGCUGUCACUUAUCGAUGGAUCCGCGCCGCAUUAGCUAGUUGGUAGGGUAACGGCCUACCAAGGCAACGAUGCGUAGCCGACCUGAGAGGAUGAGUGGACAGAGUGGAACUGAGACACGGUGCAGAAGACUAAGGGAGGCAGCAGUCGGGAAUAUUGGACAAUGGGCGAAAGCCUUAUCCAGCAAUGCGGAGUGAGUGAAGAAGGUCUUCGGAUUGUAAAGCACUUUGAGUUGGGAGGAAGGGCAGUAAGUUAAUACCUUGCUGUUUUGACGUGACCAACAGAAUAAGAACCGGCUAACUUCGUG
rnacentral:rRNA from 1 species